UACGAAGGGGGCUAGCGUUGUUCGGAAUUACUGGGCGUAAAGCGUGCGCAGGCGGCUUCUCAAGUCAGGGGUGAAAGCCCAGAGCUCAACUCUGGAAUUGCCUUUGAGACUGAGUGGCUUGAGUACGAGAGAGGUGAGUGGAAUUCCCAGUGUAGAGGUGAAAUUCGUAGAUAUUGGGAAGAACACCGGUGGCGAAGGCGGCUCACUGGCUCGUAACUGACGCUGUGGCGCGAAAGCUAGGGGAGCAAACGGG
rnacentral:rRNA from 1 species